rnacentral:rRNA from 1 species
AGAGUUUGAUCCUGGCUCAGGAUGAACGCUAGCUACAGGCUUAACACAUGCAAGUCGAGGGGCAGCAUGGACCCAGCUUUGCUGGGUUUGAUGGCGACCGGCGCACGGGUGAGUAACGCGUAUCCAACCUGCCCUUUACUCCGGGAUAGUCUCCUGAAAGGGAGUUUAAUACCGGAUGUGUUUGUCUUUCCGCAUGGGAGCGACAAAUAAAGAUUAAUUGGUAAAGGAUGGGGAUGCGUCCCAUUAGCUUGUUGGCGGGGUAACGGCCCACCAAGGCGACGAUGGGUAGGGGUUCUGAGAGGAAGGUCCCCCACAUUGGAACUGAGACACGGUCCAAACUCCUACGGGAGGCAGCAGUGAGGAAUAUUGGUCAAUGGGCGGGAGCCUGAACCAGCCAAGUAGCGUGAAGGACGACGGCCCUACGGGUUGUAAACUUCUUUUAUAAGGGAAUAAAGUUCGCCACGUGUGGUGUUUUGUAUGUACCUUAUGAAUAAGCAUCGGCUAAUUCCGUGCCAGCAGCCGCGGUAAUACGGAAGAUGCGAGCGUUAUCCGGAUUUAUUGGGUUUAAAGGGAGCGUAGGCGGGCUUUUAAGUCAGCGGUCAAAUGUCGUGGCUCAACCAUGUCAAGCCGUUGAAACUGUAAGCCUUGAGUCUGCACAGGGCACAUGGAAUUCGUGGUGUAGCGGUGAAAUGCUUAGAUAUCACGAAGAACUCCGAUCGCGAAGGCAUUGUGCCGGGGCAUAACUGACGCUGAGGCUCGAAAGUGCGGGUAUCAAACAGGAUUAGAUACCCUGGUAGUCCGCACGGUAAACGAUGAAUGCUCGCUAUGGGCGAUAUAUUGUCCGUGGCCAAGCGAAAGCGUUAAGCAUUCCACCUGGGGAGUACGCCGGCAACGGUGAAACUCAAAGGAAUUGACGGGGGCCCGCACAAGCGGAGGAACAUGUGGUUUAA